UUUCUUUCUUUUUUUUCUCGUCUCCUCUCUCUGAGAAGGAGAAGAACUUCUUCUCUGUUAACCCAAUCUCUACCAAAGUUAAGUAAAAAAAAAACCCUCAAAUCUUCGUUUCUUCAUCAAACUGAGUUCGUAUCUCUUUGUACUACAGUUUUUGCAUGUUUUCUAGUUCCGGUGUGAAGAAAAUAAGAAGAACAAUUUCAGAAUCUUAAUCACGGGAAUAUUGGGUGUAGAGUUUCAGAGGAGAAGCCUGAAGAACUGAUCCAGUUGAGGGUUGAUUGCUGGAUUGUGGGUUCUAUCCAUUGUGGGAGCUUGGUGCAAUUUCUUGACCUUGUUCUACAUAGAUAAGCUAAUUUAGUUUGGCAAUUACAAGAUAACAUGAUGUUGAAAUUGAAGAAGCGUUACUUGGUCCUAUCAAUACUGAUGACACCCCAAGUGCUGCUGACAUGGAUUACAAGAUCAAGAUUCAAGACUACUGCAGCACUAGCUGCACUGCUAGUUGUUCUUUUUUCAGAUUUUCUCAUUUUCAAGACUUAGUGUGUGUGUCUGUGACUACUGCCUACUGCCACUUCUUUUUUCAUAUUUUCAAGACAUUGUUUGUUUCGUUUGCUAGUAAUAUUGCUACUUAUUAGUUGUUGCUUUGAAUGAGAAUUUGAGAUAUUAGUAAUACUUAAUAUAUUGAAAAACAGGUAAAAACA